UCCCGACAAUUCUCUGAUUGGUUGAUGGUGACCAAUCCUGAAGGGCCAGAAGGUCUAGGGCUCCGUGCUCGUGAUCUUCAAGUCCUUAAUUUCUUCCAUUUGGUGGCGGGUUUUAGAUGAAAAACUACCCAGGAAAUAUGCAUCAGGUACUGUUAUGUAGGUACUUAAGAGAGGAGCUGAAAGCAGAGGAUUUGGGGGAGGGGUCUGUCCCGGGAUUGCCCCCUAGGGUUCUGCUGAAUCAAAAUACUUAUAGCUUUGAUUUAUUUGUUUUUUUGGUACCAUGUGAUGGUCCAUUCUUCUGAUGAUAACUUACAUUGUUUCCAUAUCUCAGUGCAAAAGGAUCUCUCAAGACAUUAACUACCAAUAUACCAAUUAACUUUUCUUCCACCUAAUUUCUCUAGAAGUUUCUCCUAAAAGCAGGAUCGCUCUACCGUAGAAUGUACAUUUUUGACCUUACGGUCAAGUUUUAAGGAUACUCCUGAGUCAUAAAAAUGAAGUGUGUAACAUUUUGCCUAUGAGUUUUAUUAAAGUGGAUCAGAAGCCAUGAAGAUGAUUAUGAUGAAGAUUACCAAAUUGAACUUGGGAUUAGGACUGGCGUAAAAAGGUGGCUCAGUGGGUAAAGAAUUUGUCUGCAAUGCAGAAGACACAGGAAGAUGUGAGUUUGAUCCCCGGGUCGGGAAGAGUGCCUGGAGGAGGGCAUGGCAACCAACUCCAGUAUUCUUUCUUGCUUGGAGAAUCCCAUGGACAGAGGAGCCUGGUAGGCUACAGUCCAUAGGGUUGCAAAGAGUCGGACAUAACUGAAGCAACUGAGUACGCAGGCAUGCUGUGUCCUUCUGCCUCACGAAGAGGUUCUGUCUUCAGGGAGCAUCAAAAUCAGCUUCAGGGCUGCUAAAACACAGAUCACUGGGACCCACCCCAGAGUUCCAGAUUCAGAAUCUGAAGUUUUAACAAAGUGCCUGAGUGGUGAAAAUGCUGCUGCUUCAGGACCACAGUCUGAGAACCACGGGACUAGAGAUUCAGAUAAAGGUUUUCAAGGUUCAGUAGGACUUCCCUCUUAAAACCUCUCCAGGCAGAGUGAAUCCACGGCCUUCCGUCCUUCCUCCCAAGUGGAAAUUACCACUGUUGUAAUCACUUUAUCACACCAGGUUGAAAUAAUUUGCUUAAACACCAACCUGCCUCUUCUGUGAGCUGUUGAAAGGUGGCUUUCACCUUUCUGAGUCUGUCCCAACCCCAAAUGAAUGCUGGGACAGCAAUGACGAUGACAAUGAAGAGGAGGAGGGCGUGGAUCACCCUAGCCCAUCAGCCUGACCACCCGGUAUAUAAUAAGGACCCUCUCACAGAAUUCUGAGCACAAGUUCUCUCCUCUGGGAACCUGGGGGUGAACUCCUAUUACUAACACAUUCCCUGAGCUGAAUCUACCACAAGGAUUUUGAUCUCAGAAGAGGUCCAGCUGUGUAUCCUGACUCCAUCCCUCUGACCUAUCCCUUCAGCCAAAAACAGUCAAACAAAAAACCUGGGGCUAGGGACUGAUUAAAAUGAUUUGUUCCUAUGGUAUGCUUUAGAGAGUGCCGAGAUACCUCCUCUACUGGCCUCUACUUGUCCCAGAUUUCUACCAUUAGAGAUUCAUUCCUUUGGGUUUCUUUCAGGUAGUCUGAGAUUCCUGGAGACAUGGGAUGGUGCGAAUCCCAGACACCUAACACGGUACGGGGCCCCUAGGAGGUGCUCAGGGAUUAAUGGGGAUUACUGUGAAGAAAGCUGAGCACUGAAGAAUCGAUGCUUUUGAACUAUGGUGUUGGAGAAGACUCUUGAGAGUCCCUUGGAUGGCAGGAAAGCUGAGGUCCAGAGAGAGCUUUCCUGGCUCACACAGAACGUCUGUGGCUGAGCCAAGACUGGAACUAGCAUUCCUGCUUCUCACUCACACCGCUCUCAUCCCACUGCUUUUCUAGACCCGGGACACUGAGGCCUACAGAAUCAACCAGCCUGGAGCCAUCGAAGCGUCCACUCUUUAGACAGCUGUGUGUGUGUCUUGUAGCUGUGACUUGACCUUAUUGUCCUUUUACGGGCAGGAGUCAGGUUUCCUGUACCCUCGACUGUGUCAGGCAUGUGGACCUGGAACACAGUGUUGGGCACUGCCAGCCUCUUCCUUGAUGCUCCUGCUAACAGAACCUCAUCACUUGCGGGAAAAAAAGGGGCGUGUCAAGUUUGCAGGGAAGCUGGGCCCAGCCCCAGGGAUGAAACAUCUCGAGACUCUGCGUAGUCACGAUCUUUAUGCGGGAUGUUUAAUGCUCACACGGUGUGGAUCCUAGAACAUGCUUACAAAUGAGGAAGCCUGGGACUCAAGGAAGUUCUGUAGAUUGGUGAUUCAGAGCUUGGUCCUGUUCCCUGAAGCUGACAAAUCCUGUUCUCCCUGCAAAUCGGCCUCCCUCAUGUCCAGACCCCAACCCAUUCCUUUAUUCCUGUUUUUCUCCUUGUGUGAUUCUUGCACAUAGUAGGUUCUUGAGAGAGAGAGCAUGUGAUAUUCAUUGUCUGCUGUCUUACAUCACCAGCCAUUUACCAACCAGGGCAAGCAGAGCACCCCCUGUGUUUAGAGGGGUGCACCUGUGUGUGUCUGUUGGGGGGUGGGUGUUUAGUUGGAGAAAAUGGGCCUUGUCCACAGUAAAAAGAACAACUCCCAUUAAUCGAAGGAGUACCUAAGGUACCAGGUCUUGUGCUUUACAUAUUUUUGUUUAAGGUCUACAGUAGCUCUAGGGAAUUUUUUCAGGAAUCUCAAGCCUCUGGGACAUCAAGUGGUUUGCCCAGUCACCCAGAGCAGAUGGGAACCAGGUCUGUGUGUCUGGAACUUGUGUCUCAGCCCAGAGCAGAGAAGGUCAGCAUGUCCGGAGCCAGAGGGAGGUUCCCUCCUCUGUAGGGAGGCUUCACUGGACAGGAAGCACCUGAACUGAGUCUGGAAGGAUGGGCUAGACUCCCAGAGCAGGAGAGGGCUUGGGCAAACUCGUGGAGAUGACACAGUGUCUGUUUCAUUGGGAAAUUGGGGAUUAUUAUGGAAAAAACCAGGCCACAUGGCCCCUGUGUACCUCUUGUGAUAGAAGGUAUUGAUUAUGGGAGGGGAGUUUGGGGCAGAAUGCAUAUAUGUGUAUGUAUGGCUGAGUCCCUUUGCUGUUUAAUUGAGACAAUCACAUUUUAAAUUGGCUAUACCCC
ensembl:lncRNA